UACGUAGGGCGCAAGCGUUGUCCGGAAUUAUUGGGCGUAAAGAGCUCGUAGGCGGCCUGUUACGUCUGCUGUGAAAUCCCGGGGCUUAACCCCGGGCGUGCAGUGGAUACGGGCAGGCUGGAGGCAGGCAGGGGAGAACGGAAUUCCCGGUGUAGCGGUGAAAUGCGCAGAUAUCGGGAGGAACACCGGUGGCGAAGGCGGGUCUCUGGGCCGUUACUGACGCUGAGGAGCGAAAGCGUGGGGAGCGAACAGG
rnacentral:rRNA from 1 species